CGUUUCUUUCGGGCAUAUUGCGAUGUCGCUGCAUGAUGUCGUCAGCUCGUGCCGUGGAGGUGUAGGUAAGUCUGCAACGAGCGCAACCUUACCUUCAGUGCCAGCACGUAAUGGUGGGGACUCUGGAGGAACUGCCUACGCAAGUAGAGAGGAAGGUGGGGAUGACGUCAAAUCAGCACGGCCGUUAUGUCCGGGGCUACACACGUGCUACAAUGGCGCACACAGAGGGCAGCGACCCCGCGAGGGGGAGCCAAUCCAUUAAAGUGCGUCUCAGUCCGGAUCGGAGUCUGGAACCCGACUCCGUGAAGUUGGAUUCGCUAGUAAUCGCGCAUCAGCCAUGACGCGGUGAAUACGUUCCCGGGCCUUGUACACACCGCCCGUCAAGCCAUGGAAGAUGGUGGUGCCUGAAGUCUGUACCCGCAAGGAGCGGCCUAAGGUAAAACUGUUAACUGGGGCUAAGUCGUAACAAGGUAACCUA
rnacentral:rRNA from 1 species